rnacentral:rRNA from 1 species
UCCGUAGGCGGGUAAUUAAGUCAGAGGUGAAAUCCCACAGCUCAACUGUGGAACUGCCUUAGAUACUGGUUAUCUUGAGUUUUAGUGAAGUAGUUAGAAUGUGUAGUGUAGCGGUGAAAUGCAUAGAUAUUACACAGAAUACCGAUUGCGAAGGCAGUCUACUAACUAACAACUGACGCUAAUGGACGAAAGCGUGGGGAGCGAACAGGAUUAGAUACCCUGGUAGUCC